rnacentral:lncRNA from 1 species
GCACCUCUGUAGCAGUUGGCCUAUCCUUUGGAUCAAAAGCCAACAGUCUCUGCAAAAGGCGCAAUGCUGAAGGAUCUGCGUUAGGAAACUUUUGCGUAAAGGGGACUGGACUCUUCUUCCUCAUUUCCCCCAGGUAUUUUCUAGCUUUUUCAUUUCGAACCUGCGUUACAGAUAAUAUAUCAUUAGUUUAUGCAAAAAUGAACAUACUCCAGCAAACAAAAAUAGAAACUUGGUAAUGAGGAAGCAAAAAUGAAACAUACUCCAGCAACGGUCUCUGAUUUUGGUGUGCCAAGAAGAUCUGUGAUGAGCUCUAGCUGAUGAACCACGCUUUUUCCAGGAAACAGAGGCUUCCCUAACAACACCUCCGCAAAGAUGCAGCCAAUGCUCCAAAUGUCAAUCGCUGGAGUAUACUGCACAAAAGAAUACAAACUGCAACUCAGUGUCUUGACUCUUGAGCAUCUACAAACUGCAACUCAGUUAUAUCUGUAACAUUCACAACCA